GAUUAAGCCAUGCAUGUGUAAGUAUAACUAAUUGACUUUGAAACUGCGAAUGGCUCAUUAUAUCAGUUAUAGUUUAUUUGGUGAAGGAUACUAAUUGGAUAACCGUAGUAAUUCUAGGGCUAAUACAUGAGUAAAGUCCCAUUGGGAUGUGUUUAUUAGAAUGAAAACCAUAUGCUUCGGCAUGAUAGUGAGUAAUAGUAACCUAUCGUAUCGCAUGCUUAAUGUAGCGAUGAGUCUUUCGAUGGUAGCAUAUGGGUCUACCAUG
rnacentral:rRNA from 1 species